ACGGGGGGUGCAAGCGUUGUUCGGAAUUAUUGGGCGUAAAGAGCGUGUAGGCGGCUGAAUAAGUCAGAUGUGAAAUCCCUGGGCUUAACUCAGGAAGUGCAUUUGAAACUAUUCAGCUCGAGUAGGGGAGAGGAAAGUGGAAUUCCUGGUGUAGAGGUGAAAUUCGUAGAUAUCAGGAGGGACACCGGUGGCGGUGGCGAGUAACUAGCCCUAUACUGACGAUGAGACGCGAGAGCGUGGUAUGAGGUCAA
rnacentral:rRNA from 1 species